rnacentral:rRNA from 1 species
CAGUAGCCACGGGAAUGCAGAGGACGCAAGCGUUAUCCGGAAUGAUUGGGCGUAAAGCGUCUGUAGGUGGCUUUUCAGGUCCGCCGUCAAAUCCCAGGGCUCAACCCUGGACAGGCGGUGGAAACUACCAAGCUGGAGUACGGUAGGGGCAGAGGGAAUUUCCGGUGGAGCGGUGAAAUGUGUCGAGAUCGGAAAGAACACCAACGGAGAAAGCACUCUGCUGGGCCGACACUGACACUGAGAGACGAAAGCUAGGGGAGCAAAUGGGAUUAGAUACCCGCGUAGUCCCUGUCUCUUAUAC